UACGUAGGGUGCAAGCGUUGUCCGGAAUUAUUGGGCGUAAAGAGCUCGUAGGCGGUCUGUCGCGUCUGCUGUGAAAACUCAGGGCUUAACCCUGAGCUUGCAGUGGGUACGGGCAGACUAGAGUGCGGUAGGGGAGACUGGAAUUCCUGGUGUAGCGGUGAAAUGCGCAGAUAUCAGGAGGAACACCCGUGGCGAAGGCGGUUCUCUGGGACGGUACUGACGCUGAGACGCGAAAGCCGUGGGGAGCGAACAGG
rnacentral:rRNA from 1 species